GAACCACUGCCUUCUUCUCUUCUGUAUCAGUCAGGUGGAUCCAUCCGGUAACUCAUCUAUCUAUCUAUCUAUCUAUCUACCUCAAACUUCCUGGUCACUUCACUUUGAGGGUUCAGCUGCCCACCCCUGCGACUGGUUAGAGCCAGCCUGCUGCCAAUCCCAACAGAGCUCUCCAAUUCUGAACCUCAGGAGGAAGGUGUCUCCCACCUGCCUUAUAUCUGCUUAGUAAGCGAGGAGUCUCCACAUCUGCGCUGAGGUGCCCAUCUAGUUCUGCUUCUGCAGAAACAGACUGGCGUUCUGUUUGCUAAAGAAAGGAAAAGUAGUAACACCUCAGAGGGAGGCGCCACCACUUACGUUUUCCCCACAGUGGCCUGCACAUGGAAGACUCCUGUGAAUGUUUGUUGUCUGAAGACAGCAGAGGUAAUUCUGAGACAAAUGAGUAGCAUCAUUAGUAAAGUUCAAAAGUCUGAGGGAUAGAUGGGAAUAACUAAAAUGUAUUCCAUCUAAGUGUCUACGUGUGCUAUGUCCUGUUUCUACAACCAAAUAUAAAUUAAAAUUUAAAA